GAUGAACGCUGGCGGCGUGCCUAAUACAUGCAAGUCGAGCGAACAGACGAGGAGCUUGCUCCUCUGACGUUAGCGGCGGACGGGUGAGUAACACGUGGAUAACCUACCUAUAAGACUGGGAUAACUUCGGGAAACCGGAGCUAAUCCCGGAUAAUAUAUUGAACCGCAUGGUUCAAUAGUGAAAGACGGUUUUGCUGUCACUUAUAGCUGGAUCCGCGCCGCAUUAGCUAGUUGGUAAGGUAACGGGUUACCAAGGCGACGAUGCGUAGCCGACCUGAGAGGGUGAUCGGCCACACUGGAACGGAGACACGGUCCAGACUCCUACGGGAGGCAGCAGUAGGGAAUCUUCCGCAAUGGGCGAAAGCCUGACGGAGCAACGCCGCGUGAGUGAUGAAGGUCUUCGGAUCGUAAAACUCUGUUAUUAGGGAAGAACAAAUGUGUAAGUAACUAUGCACGUCUUGACGGUACCUAAUCAGAAAGCCACGGCUAACUACGUG
rnacentral:rRNA from 1 species